rnacentral:lncRNA from 1 species
GGCAACUCUUGAGGUCACUGAAGGCUCCGCGAAAUGGACUGUUGUAUUUACAAAGAAACAUCACUCAUGCCCAGAACCUACUUAUUACUUGCAGCGCUUAGAUUCCGUCAACAAGGACAUUAAUACUUACCUUCUUUCUUGUAACUAGGAACAGCACGACAGAACAUGCCCUUUGUUUAAGUGAAGCUAGCCAGUACGUACGUUGUACUUUGAAAUAAACGCUUCAAAUUGAAGGUGCAUGUAAUUCCCAGGCCCUAAUAUAAAGUAUAGAGCACUUUAGACCUUUGGAUUCCAUCAGUUAGGCUGUUGAUGCUUCCCUUCUACAAGGUGUGUGGCAUGAGCAGAUAAGCCUGGUAUUUGUAUAAUAAUUCAGGUGGCCAUCCUCUGUGUAACUUUGUGUGAUCUAGUAAUUAAAUAAUAUGUGCUCACUUUCCUUAAAUCCGUCGUUCGGAGUAUUAUUUUCGUUCUAAAUCCAUUUUUUAAUAUAUAUAUAUAUAUAUAUAAAGAUUAAGGGGGCAAUUUCCCCCUUAAUCCCCAUUUGGCUCCGCAACUGGCUGCCACUGUCCAAGCAAUUCUAGCAACUCCUCUAGACCAUUUAGAUCUUGCCUAACCUCUCCUGGAAGGUCCACUGCAAAUUUUGAAUGAUUUAAUAUUUUGCGUUACAUGUGAUAAUUGUAUAAAUGUGUGUGUCGCACCCUAAAAAAAAUCCAAUUACGGGUUCGAUUGUCGAUUUUUUUGUUUUACUGAUUUGGUUCUUUGGAGCCACCUAGUAUUUUGGUUACUAGGAACCAUAACUGGUCUCAAAGAUCGGGUACGGGGACUGGUUGUGUAAAAGGAAGGUAUUAGCACCCCAAAUACGCCCUACCUAAGGUAAGCUGCAUUGUUUUAUUGUCUGAUAAAAACUAAAAUGUUAUUGUACUUCUAGUUGUUGGUCUGUCUAUGGUUCAAGAAAAAUCCUCCUCGGUAAGAAGGUCUUUAUCUUAUCGGGUAAAAUCCUAACCGUUCUAACGUCUAUACCAAAACUUUAUUAAUAAUAUUUAGGAAUACGUUUUACGUAUAAAUUCGUAAUCCCAAAUACUAAAAGAAAACAAAAAGAUUUUUUUAGAAUUUUUGAAAUAUUGGCCUAGUUCUCAUGGCUUGAAUAAACUGGUUAUUAAAGCCAAAAUGCAUGCUAAUACAUAUAUUGUUUUGAAAAUUUCCUUUGUUGUGUGAAAAUAUGAUGUUAUAAUAUAUAUAUAUAUAUUGGAGAGACUAGGCCGUAUUUUAAAACCAAAAAAACAUUUUUUGGAAAAUUUUUUUUUUUAUGUUUUAACGAAAAUCGGGUAUUUUAAUACUGGGUUUGUAUUCUUACGGUAUAAAAAUACAAACCAAUAUUAAUCCACCCUAAUAAAAAUAUGCAGGAAAAAUCAACAAUAUUUUUAGGGAUUUUUUAGAAUUUUUUGAAAGCAAAAACAUUUUUUAUAUUGAAAGUCUUUGAUGUUUUGACAAAAACCGGGUAUUUUAAUAAUGAAUUUAUAUCUCUACGGUAUAGAAAUACAAACCAUUAUUAAGCCAAAAAUGCAACCAAAUCAACAAUAUUUUUCAAAGAUUUUUCAGAAUAUAUUUUUUAAAGAAAAAAAAAAAAUAUAUACAUAUAUAAUAUAAUAUAUAUUAUAUGGGCUGGGCCGGCCCAAUUGAAUGGGCCAAACCCAGCCCAACAAGAAUUGGGAUUGGGCCGAUCUCGGCCCAUUUAAGCUUUUAUCUUUGACUGGGCCAAACCUGGCCCGAUAUGCAUAACUGGGCCAGAAUCGGUCUGGCCCAGCAAAAGAAAAUAGUCGGGAGGGGAAUUAAUUUUCCCCUCCCCUUCUCCUGCAUGCAACACAAUUAUGCAUGCAAGAGGGAAGCUUCUUCAACUAACAGGUGCAAAGGGAGGGGGGAGAAGACUUUACCUAGUGUGGAGGAGGCGGUCGCUGGUGGUGCUGCGAUGGAGGCCGGCGUGGCUGAAGGCGGCGAGGCUGGUCGCAGGAUCUGAUCGCCGCUGGAGGAAGAAAAAAACAGGUCCUGCAGAGGAGAAGGAGAGCCCACGGUUGCAACUGUUGGAGCGGCUGAAGGGAGAGCUGCUAUCCUGGCGGUCUUUGGUGCUGCUGCUAUGCUGCAUAGGAGAAGGAAAACUCACGGUUGCAAGAUGAUUGCUGCGGCUGCUGCUACUGCUGUUGCUGCUGCUGGAGGCCUCGGUGACAGAGGAGGAGAGUUUUGCAGAGGAGAGAAAGAUGAUGCAACCACCGUGUGUGACGUUUUGGUGGCUGCUUGAGGUGGAGAUGACAAUGAGAAGACGAGUGAUGAUGGUGGUGGUGGAUGAGGGCCAACGACGGAGAGGGAAAGGGAAGAAGAGACUGGUUGCAGGAAAACUGGGCAGUAAUGGCUGGUUUUUGUCCGACUUUGUGUUUUAUUUUUUCCUCCCUCAGAUCAUCAAAUCCGACUCUAUUUAUAGGCUGUGGAAGAGGACAAUCUUGUCUACGUUGGAGAAAAAUUUCAGCCCUUGAUUCAGUUGGGAAGCAUCUCAACUGUUGGCUCAAAGUGUGCACCUCGAGCUGCCAAAUUUGGCAGCUCCAGGUUGUGAACUGCCCGAGGUGGCCACUUUGAGCCACUCAACGGAGCCGUUUCUAACUUUUUCGGCCCGACAGGACCAUUCUCCGGGAUAAAGGGGUUUCAGGUGGACAUGUUGGUGCACGGUUUGUCGGAUUUGGAGGCCAGACGAGCCGAAAGUGAAUAGUAACAGGCGACGUGUCUCCUGAUUUCCCUGCGCCAUUUUUCAAAUUAAUCCUCCAGUUUUCAAUUUCUUCAAUUUGACCCCGGAUCAAUCCAAUACAGCACCCCUAUUUACGCCCUUUUUCCAAAUUGGUCCCUGGUUUCGGAUUUUCUCAAUUAAGUCCCUAAUUGGCCAUUAAACUUCAAUAUUUAUGCAAUUAAGCCCCUGAUCGGACCUAAUAAAUUCCUAAAAAAUAUAUUUUGGCCCCAGAACUUAAAUUUCUUCUAAUUAAAGCCCAAAUUGACUUAAAAAUCAAUUUUUCUUGCAAUCAAAUCCCCUAUAAAUCCAAUUAAAAAUCCAAUUAAGUCCAUAAACAUCCAAAUUUGGGCUUUUCUCCUCAAAAUUUAAAUUUUCCUUCUAAAAUAGGGCCCUCAUCCUUCAAGAAUAUACUGUCAAAAAUCCAAUCUUUGUAUUUUUAUACUCCUUGACCAAUUUUCUGACCAUUUUCUGAACGUUUCUGCCUCCUGUUAUUUUUCUAACCUCUUUUGGCUAUUUAUUUUAUUUUUAUUUUUGUGGGGACCCGAAAAUGGGUUACAACAGUGUGUAAUCAUAAGGUGUGUGCUAAAUAGUGAAAGAGAAUAUAUGUCAGUGAUACAUGAUUUUAUUUUCUUUGGAUGUGUUAGAAAAAAACAAAAAAACAAAGAAGAAAAAAAAAUACACAUACUUGUAUAAUUUGUUUUUUUACACCAUGUUUACAUAAAAAUUAAAAAAACCCAUUUUUGCAUGUUUUUAGCAUUAAAAAAAUGUGUUUUUGAUAUUUGUUUAAAAAGAAAUCCAAAGAGACUGGAUUAGGGACUUGAUUGAAGAAAUUCAAAAUUAAGGACCAAACUGGAAAUGUACGUAAAUAAAGAGGCUGAAAUUGAUCGAAUUAAAGGCUAAAUUGAAGAAAUUGAAAGUUUGUUGAUCAAUUGAUGGUCAAAAUGCACAAAUUCAAAAUCAAAGACCAAAGUGAAAGAGGUGGCCAACUUCAUGGUUGACAUCUAAAUUUGACAAUGAUGCAAUUGAAUUGAUUCUUAAAUCUCAAUUGAGGAAUGGAUUAAACAAAUUAAAAUUUAGGAUUGAUUUAGAAAUUGAAAAUUUUUAGCGCCCUUUUCUUUUAAAUGAAACGACAUGUUUUGUUCACAACGAUGUCGUUUCAUUCACAAUUCAUUUUUUUUAAAGAGAGAGAGAGCUACAAAUAGUGUCAUUUUGAUGACACUGUUUGACAUCUUCUUCCCCUGGACGUGCAAAGGCAGGGGAAGAAGGUUUUUUCCCCCUCCUUUGCAAUGCUUGUUUCUCCCUCGCUCUCCCUCCCAUUUGCCCAAAAACCCCGACACAACCUACACCCUUUCAUGGCCUACCACCAUGAUGAAAGGGACAGAGUAGACAAGCCAUGCGGGUGGCUGUAUAGAGGCCGCUCCAGCCAUCCUACUGUUUCACCAUGACUAGACAAGGAUAGGAUAGGGUGGCCAUCUCUUCCCUCACCCCUUAUAAAUACCCCCUCACCAGAAGGUAAAAGGGAUGAGAAUGAGAGAACGAAAGGAAUGAAAGAAACAUAAAAAGGAGAGCGAAGGAAAAAAACAAAACAAAAAAAAAGAAAAAAAAAACAGGGGAAAAUAGAGAAAGGAAAAAAAAGUUAGGAAAGGAAGAAACAAAAGAGAAAGAAAGAAGAGAAAACAAAGAGUGAUAGGAAAGGGAAAGAAGAAUAACCACCGGCCAACAAAGCCACCCUUCCCAGUGCAUAGCCUCCUCGGUGAGAAGAAGAACCAGCAGCUCCAGCUCCAGCAAGGAUGGAUGUCGUUAUGAGCCAUCGAAAGUCAGCAUCCACCUCAUUUCUUCUUCUUCUCUUUCUUUGUGUGCCACCUCCACUAUUCUGUAAGUGAAUAAUGGAGAGUGAAUUAAUUCACUCUCCACUGUUCACUAUAUCGAACAAUGUCAACCCAUACCAAAAUGGUUGGCCCGAGUCCGACCCAAUAAAAAUAAUAUUUAUUGGACUGGUAUUGGCCCAACACCCUUUUGGGACGACAUCGGAUCAACCCUUGUCUUGGGCUGAUGUCAGCCUAGUCGCUUUUUGGGUCGAACUCGACCUAGUUUCCUUUUGGAUCGAACUUAGCCCAAACAUGGUGGGCUCAACCCACAUGAUUAGGUUAGGGCCAACCUGAUGUAUUUUAUUAUAAUAUAAUACUAUAUAAUAUAUGUUAUAUAUUAAAAUAAAAAUAAAUCAUUUGAAAAACAUUUGUGGUUUUCUUGCGUAUUUUUCUACCAAUUUUACUUAAUAUUGGUUUGUAUUUUUAUACUUUAAAGAUACAAAUCCGACAUUAAAAUACCUAGUUUUUUUCAAAAUAUUACAAAAAAAAUUUAUAUAGAAAAAAUAAAUAAAUAAAUAUAUAUAUAUAUAUACACACACACACGACCAAGUCUCUCAAGCUUAUAAGAAAUUUUCUUAUCGAAUUUUCAUACAACAAAAAAUUCAAGAACAAUAUUUAUUAGAAUGCAUUUUGAGCUUUAAUAAUCAGUUUAUUAAAGUCAUGAGAACUAGGUCAAACCAAGAAAAUUAUUUUGUUUUCUUUUAUUAUCUAGGAUUACAUACUUAUACUUAAAACAUAUUCCUAUUAUUAAAUAAGUGAUAAUUCAUUUUUUGUUGACGUUAGAACGAUUAAGUUUUACCUGAUAAGAUAAGGAUCUUUAUACUGAUGAUGACUUUUCUUUAACCUUAGACAUGCCAAUAAUUAAAAUAUACGACAAUAUCUUAAUUUAUUAUCAGACAAUUAAACAAUAUAAGUUAUCUUAGAUAAAAUCAUCCCGGGAUGGAAGCUUCGGUCCUGGGAGAGGCAGAAUUUAGGGCCGGGGGGGUGUCUAGCUGAAAAUUUAAAGGAGAGAAGAUUUGAUGAGUAUAAUUUUCAUUUGAAAUCACUAAGGGAUUUUCAUUGAUAUUUUUAUCGGUGAUUUGACGUGUUAAAAAUGUUAAAAUAAAUUCUGACACAAUGAUUUUUAAAUUCAAUCUGAAGAGAAUUUUUUAUUGGCGUUUUUUUUUAAUUUUUUUUUUUCUGGUAAUGGUUGAUACGUGACGCCACAUUACCAUUCAUAGGAGCCUAAAACAGGACGUUGAGAUGAGCUUUAGAAGCCGGAAAGUUUUUGUAAUAUUGGUGUAGCUAUUUGGGCUGCGACCCAAACAAUAUGGGUGUUACCAUUGGGACCCAACGGUAACUAGGCAACAAAGGUUUGUUGCCGUUUGGGUUUAAUAUUAUUAACUGCCAUUUUUCUUUAAUUUAAUUUCUUUUUUAACCACUCAGUGAUGGGAUAAGAUUGAGGAGCUAUCCCAGAAACCCGUAAAAUUCAUGUCGAAAUAAAUAAAUAAAUAAAACAGAAAUAUUAUUACGAAUAAGAGCUUUACCAAACUUGGGAAAAUAUCAAUGUCAAACAAUGCAAUAUGUUGAGUUAAUUCUCUCUUUUUUUGAUCGUUUGGACAUUCAGAGUUUCCAGUAGUCUUAUCAUUCAAAGAUGGACAGCGAGGAAGAAAGGUUUUGUAUCAAAAUUUCAAUGUCUGUUCUUGGGAAACAUUUUCUUAAAAAACAAAUUCACAUCUUCUUAAUGAUUUUAGAUUCAUCAUUUUAGCAUAAAUUAAGAUCAAAUAAUAAAAUUAAAUUAAAGAGAAAUGACAGAUAAUAAUAUUUUUGUUUUUGAUGAAGUUAAUAUUUUGUUCUUGAUGAAAGCUUACUGAUAUAGCUUUCUUCAGUUUUUAAUGUCAUAAAUUUCCUAUUUCCUUCAUUGCUAUUAUUCCAAUCCUUUUUAUAAUAAUAAUAAAAAUAAUUUAAGCAUACGAAAAGAAUGCAUAAAUAAGUCCUAAUUAAUUAACUUAACAUUCUUGACAUUAACUGUCAUCUCUCUCUCUCUCUCUCUGUUGUCAAUUUAUUGAUUUCUCUACUGUUAAUGGAUCUCUCUGUUUUUUCCUUUUUUCUACUUUUUCUGUUCCUUUCGGGUUGAUCAGUCCAAGAAUCUGAUCAUUUAAGAAUAGGAUUCUUUUUGCAAUUCUGAUGAGUUUUUUGUACGGUAAAGAGUGUCUUUUUGUACAAUUCUACUCAACAACUGCGUCUCUUGUAAAAAAAUGAUGAAACCUAAUUGAUUUUUUUUUAAAAAAAAACUCUUAAAGAUCAGAUCAAAUAUGGAACUUGUACCAUAUUUUCUAACGAGUUGAAUAGAAUUCAAUCCAUUUCAGACGACCAAAUAAGGAUAAGAUGUGUUUAUGCCCAAGGACCAAGAAUCAUGUAUGAUGUUUAUGUCGUGUAGAUUCCAGUCCCACUAUCAGCACCAGUUGUUUUAUGUACAAAACAUAAAUAUAUGAGACUAUGUCCACUAUCAAAAUUUAUUUUCCAUCAAUAUGGCAAUGAUCAUAUGAUACACCUCGAAUUUGAAGAAUGUAAUGAUGAUUUUAUGUUCUGAACAUUAACUUAUGUUGAUAUUGCUUCAAAUUAGGGUCCCAGAUGAUGAAGCAAAAGAAGUCCACAAGAGUAGUCCACAAAAUUAGGGUCCCAGAUAAUUUGUAAGGAUUUAUGAAUUUUUUUUAUUACAUUAAUUUUCUAACAAUAUAAUAAGACAAUAUCUAUGAUGUUAUUUUAGAUCAAAUUAACAACAUAACAAUAUACUAAAACAAUUGAUCGAUUAGUUUUUUUUUUUUUGUAGGAAAGACAUCACAAUUGCUCAUCGACAAUUAAUAAAACAAUUAAUUUAAUAUUUGGAUUUUGAGAGUCUUCUUAUAUAGCUCCCUCGUUCUACUUUAACUAUCAUAAAUAUCUUUCAUCUUCAUUAUUUUCACUUGACCUCAAAUUUAAUUACUCUGUGCAAUCUUUAGGGAAGUCGAUGGUGAGAAGGAAGAAUCCAAUUGAGCCACCAUCCACGGUGCAAGUCUAUUUCAUCUUCUCAUUAACUUAGAGGACCACCGCAAGAAUCUAUCGCCUUUACCUGGCUGGCAAAAAUAAGGCCACCACUUAUAUUGGGGACUAGAUCGAUGUCAAUCCAAUGAGAACCUGGAAUUAAUCAAUGAAGAAUUUUUUAUCCUUUUCGACAUGUGUAGGCCCUACAUUAGAGGCUAGGUGAUUCUCUUCUGAUCCUAUAUAACGCUAAGGCUUCCUCCACAUCGCAUCCAUCCUCAGCUUCUGUUUGCUUACAAGUCGUUAGUUUUCUUAUAGAUAUGGCUCAAAUUGGCAACCAGAUUGAGAUGAUCACGACACCAAUUCAAUGCUCUGCUUUUAUGUUUUAUGAGGUCUACAGGAAAGAAGCGUUCCUCUUGCCGAGGAUUUCUCCUCGUAAUGUUAAGAAAAUAGAACUCGUUCCCCCUACUUGUAGUUGGGAGGAUAAAGUAGGCUCCCGCAAGCUCGUUCACCUCGAUGAAGGUUUGAACUCAGACUUCUUAAAGGAGGGAGAGACUCUCAUUCACAUUUUCAAUCUUUUUUCCUUAAGAUAAUUAUCAAUUAAUCACUUUGUUCCAUAAUUUUUUUUUUUUAGCAUCUGUUUUCCUUGAGCAUGCAUGCCUAUAUAUAUUUUAACAAGCAGCGGCGUUGUUUUUUUAAAUAGCUGGACUUGAGUCUUUCAAGGAUGAAGUGAUAGAGAUUCACCCUCACGCCAAGAAAAUCACCUACAAGGUGUUGGAAGGAAACAUGAUGAUGUCCUUCUAUCACAGCUUCCAGGCAACUCUUGAGGUCACUGAAGGCUCCGCGAAAUGGACUGUUGAAUUUAUAAAGAAAAAUGACUUAUGCCCAAAUCCUGAUUAUUACUUGCAGCGUUUAGAUUCCGUCAACAAGGACAUUAAUACUUUCCUUCUUCCUAAGUAACUAGGAACAGCACGACAGAACAUGCCCUUUGUUUAAGUGAAGCUAGCCAGUACGUACGUUGUACUUUGAAAUAAACGCUUCAAAGUAAUUCCCAGGCCCUAAUAUAAAGUAUAGAGCACUUUAGACCUUUGGAUUCCAUCAGUUAGGCUGUUGAUGCUUCCCUUCUACAAGGUGUGUGGCAUGAGCAGAUAAGCCUGGUAUUUGUAUAAUAAUUCAGGUGGCCAUCCUCUGUGUAACUUUGUGUGAUCUAGUAAUUAAAUAAUAUGUGCUCAC